GGGGCUCGCACCCCUACUGGUCCCUAUAGGGGAUCCUAGGGGGGGUGUUCCCAUCCUAUAUGGCCCCGGGAGGGGGUCUAUAGGGUCCUGGGGGGGGCUUUGUCCCUGUAUGGGGGCAGCAGCCCCUAUAUGUCUGCCUGUGUGCCCCUUAUAGCGCCCUGCAGAGGGGGAGCCCCCCUGGGCUGCCCUAAAGGGCCCUAUAGGGGCAGGGGUCUCCAUACGUUCCCAUAUAGGGCCCUGUGCGAGGGGACCUAUAGGGCUGGGGCUCCCCUAUAGGGCUGGGGACCCUCUCCUCCCCCUAUACAGCCCUUGGGGGGGCGACCCUAUACGUUCCUGGGGUGGUCUGGGUGCUUUCCAUAGGGUCUUGGGUUCUUCCUUAUUUUUUUUUGUGCUCUUUCCAGACUUUUUAAUCAUUUUCCCCAUUUUUUAUGUCGUUUCCCAGGCUUUUUGCCAUCCCUCUCCAACCCCAACGUGAGCCAAACUCUUUUUUUCAGCCUUUUUGCCCUAAAUCGGCGCGCUUUUAGGGCUUUGUGUUAUUGGGGCGGUCGUUUUGGGGGCAAAUCAGGCAGAAAUGGGAAGCUCGGGAAGGAUUCAGCUCCACAAGCCUGGCGUUGGGGCUCCCUCUGCAGCCAAAAGAGGGAAAAAAAAGAGAAUUUAGGGACACUGCGUCCCGGGGAGCUUGGGGGGGGGUCUGAAACGCUUCCACCUCCAGCUUUUUGGGGCUAAAACAUCAGGAAUUGAGCACUGGAUGUCCCCUUAUGUUCCAGCAAACUGAUAUUUAUUUACCCAAGUCGAUAUUUAAUUACCCAAAUCAGUAGUUAUUUACCCAAAUCCAUAUUUAAUGCAUUUUGACUCAUUUUGGGGCUCCUUUGGACCCAUUUUGGGGCUCCUUUUCCACCCAUUUGUUCCCACCAUGCUCCUUUUUGACCCAUUUUUUCUCCCUCGCACUACUUUUGACCCAUUUUUCCCACCCUACACUUCAUGUGGGUGUUCCUUUUGACCCAUUUUGGGCUCCUUUUCACCCAUUUUUCUCCGCCACUCUCCAUCCCGACCCAUUUUUUUUUCCCCACAUCCCAUUUUGGGGCUCCUUUUGACCCAUUUUUUCCCCACCACACUACUUUUCCACCCAUUUUUCCCACCCCACAUCUCAUUCUGGGUCUCCUUUUGACCCAUUUUUCCCCCACACACUCCUUUUUGACCCAUUUUUUCCCCCACAUCCCAUUUUGGGGCUCCUUUCCACCCAUUCUGGGGCUCCUUUCAACCCACUUUUCCCCACCACUCUCCCUUUUGGCUUGUUUUUUCCCCCCUCCACUCAUUUUGGGGCCCCUUUUCACCCAUUUUCCCCCACCACUCUCCUUUUUGACCCAAUUUUUCCCCCCACAUCCCAUUUUGUGUCUCCUUUCUACCCAUUUUUCCCCCCACAACCUCCUUUUUGACCUGAUUUUUUCCCCCACAUCCCUUUUUGGGGCUCCUUUUGACCCAUUCUGAGGCUCCUUUCCACCCAUUUCCCCCCCCCACUCUCCAUUUUGACCCAUUUUUCCCACCUCACAUCCCAUUUUGGGGCUCCUUUUGACCCACUUUCCCCCCACACACUACUUUUUGACCCAGUUUUUCCCCACACAUCCCAUUUUGGGGCUCCUUUCCACCCAUUUUGGGGCCCCUUUUGACCCACUUUUCCCCACCACUCUCCUUUUUGACCCAUUUUUCCCACUGCACGUCCCAUUCUGGGGCUCCUUUCCAUCCAUUUUUCCCCCCACACACUACUUUUUGACCCAAUUUUUCCCCCCACA
rnacentral:lncRNA from 1 species